CUGUGAAUUUCUGGACUGAAAAUUGGCUAGGAGAGCCACUCGUUGAUAUUCUGCACAUUCCUCCAGACAUCCAUCAUCACCUCAGAGCAAAGGUUUCAAAUUUCAGAAUAGAUGGUCGUUGGUGCCUCCCAGGCUUCGUUGCCAACAACCCUGUCAUCAGUAAAAUUCGGAAUGUCUAUUUUAGUCAGGAUCCGGAUAUCUUGGUUUGGGUGUCCUCUUCCUCUAGCACUUUAUCUGCAAAAGAAGCCUAUGCUCACUUUCGUCUCACAAACGUUACUGGAUUAUGGAGCUCCCUUUGGUCCAAAGCCAUCCCCCCUUCCAAAUCGUUCGUUGUUUGGAGACUUUUACAUGG
rnacentral:lncRNA from 1 species